GACGAACGCUGACAGCAUGCUUAACACAUGCAAGUCGAACUGAAAUUCGGUGCGGGUGGCGGGUGCGUGAGUGACGAGUAGAGAACUAGCAUGACAGUAAGCUGCCAUUUAUGGAAACGAAAGUUCAUAAAAGAUAUGAUGAUUUCAGGGCAUACUUGAAUCUUGAAAGCUAUGUGUGCUGUGAGAGAGCUUUGGGUGACAUUCUCUAGUUGGAGGGGUAACGGCUCACCAAGGCGAGGAAGGGUAGCCGGCCUGAGAGGGUGAACGGCGACAAGGGGACUGGGACACGGCCCUUACCCCUACGGGAGGCAGCGUGGGGGAAUAUUGGACAAUGGACCAAGAGUCUGAUCCAGCAAUUCUGUGUGCACGAUGAAGUUUUUCGGAAUGUAAAGUGCUUGCAGGUGGGAAGAAAAAAAUGACGGUACCAACAGAAGAAGUGACGGCUAAAUACGUG
rnacentral:rRNA from 1 species